UAGGGAAUCUUCGGCAAUGGACGAAAGUCUGACCGAGCAACGCCGCGUGAGUGAAGAAGGUUUUCGGAUCGUAAAACUCUGUUGUUAGAGAAGAACAAGGACGUUAGUAACUGAACGUCCCCUGACGGUAUCUAACCAGAAAGCCACGGCUAACUACGUGCCAGCAGCCGCGGUAAUACGUAGGUGGCAAGCGUUGUCCGGAUUUAUUGGGCGUAAAGCGAGCGCAGGCGGUUUCUUAAGUCUGAUGUGAAAGCCCCCGGCUCAACCGGGGAGGGUCAAUGGAAACUGGGGGACUUGAGUGCAGAAGAGGAGAGUGGAAUUCCAUGUGUAGCGGUGAAAUGCGUAGAUAUAUGGAGGAACACCAGUGGCGAAGGCGGCUCUCUGGUCUGUAACUGACGCUGAGGCUCGAAAGCGUGGGGAGCAAACAGG
rnacentral:rRNA from 1 species